ensembl:lncRNA
CUGAAAGCCGUGGAAUGUCAGACCAACAAAAUAUUUAUUUGUACCGCUCUAGUUACGUUGGUAACCAGUUUAUAAUAGCAAUAAGGCACCUCGGGGGGUUGUAAUAUAUUGAUAUACCAAAAGGCAAAGGGCUGUGUUCUAGCACUCCGCGUUGCGUCGUGAUUAAGAACAGCCCUUAGCUGUUGUUUAUUGGCCAUAUACCACACAAUUGCUUAUUGCUUAAAUAUACCGUGUUGAUUUGUUAUUGUGCAUUCCUGCAUCCAGGAGCGCCUUCUUACGGUUUUCCUGCAUGCUCAAGUCAUUGUGCUACACUGGGAGAGCGGAGCAGUACAGCACCGGUUACAUUGGUGACUUCUAGACCCGGAUUCAUCGAUGAUCAACGUCAGCUCGAUCACCGUGGAGCUGCUGCUCUAGAGACUGUUUACAUCAUGAGGCACGUCCGGAUUUUCAUUUGGCUCACUUGCAGCCAAAACAACAUUAUCCUCAGCUUUUUGGCUUUGCCACGACCACCCAAAGGACAUCCAGCCAUCUUGACACAACUUUAGGAAGCACUGGAGUCAACAUGGGCCAGCAUCCUUGUGGAACGCUUUAGACACCUCGUAGAGUCCACGCCUCGACGAAUUGAUGCUGUAUGAGAGCAAAAGGAAUGCAGCUCAAUAUUAGGAAGGUGUUCCUUAUGUUUUGUACACUCAGUGUAUAUUUGGCUUUGUGUUUUAGGUAAUUAUCCUCCUGAAAGUUGAGUUUGUCUCCCAGUGUCUGUUGGAAAGCAGACUGAACCAGGUUUUCCUCUAGAAUUACACCUGGAUUUGGCUCUUUUCUGUUUCUUUAAAUCCUAAAAUAACUCUCAAACCCAUAACAUGAUACAGCCACCAUCAUGCUUGAAAAUAUGAAGAGGUAUACUCAGUGAUGUGUUGGAUUUGCCCCAAACAUAGCACUUUGUAUUCAGGACAAAAGCUAAAUUUCUUUGCCACAUUUUUUUGCAGUAUUUAGUGCCUUGUUACAAACAGGAUGUGUGUUUUGGAAUAUUUUAAGUCUGUAUAGGCUUCCUUUUCACUCUGUCAAUUGUGUUAUUAGUCCCUCCUUUGCAUUGGAAAAUCUCCCUGGUCUUUGUGGUUGGAUGUGUGUUUAAAAUUCACUGAGGGACCUUACAGAUCAUUUUAUGGGGUACAGAGAUGGGAUAGUCAUUCAAGAGUUAAACACAAUAAUUGUACACAGAGUGAACCCAUGCAAUUUAUUAUGUUUCUUGUUAAGCUAAUAUUUAAUCCUGAAUUUAUGCUGAAUUUAUUUAUGCUUGCCAUAACAACAAUGUUGAAUAUUUGUUGACUCAAGACAUUUCAGCUUUUCAUUAAUUAAUAUAUAAACAUUUUUAAAAACAUAAUUCCACUUUGAUAUUAUGGGGUAUUGUGUGGAAAUCAGUGGCACAAUUUCAAUUUAAUCUAUUUUGUAUGUAAAUUCAGGCUGUAACAACAAAAUGUGGAAAAGGGACUCCUUGACUUACAGCCUUAUUCUAAAACUGAUUAAAUGAAUAAGUAUUCAGACCCUUUGCUAUGAGAUUUGAAAUUGAGUUCAGGUCCAUCUUGUUUCCAUUGACCAUCCUAGAGAUGUUUCUACAACUUGGAGUCCACCUGUGGUAAAUUCAAUUUAUUGGACAUUAUUUUUAAAGGCACACACCUGUCUAUAUAAGGUCCCACAGUUGACAGUGCAUGUCAGAGCAAAAAACAAGCCAUGAGGUCGAAGGAAUUGUUCAUAGAGCUCUGAGACAGGAUUAUGUUGAGGCACAGAUCUGGG